rnacentral:rRNA from 1 species
AGUGAACGCUGGCGGUAGGCCUAACACAUGCAAGUCGAACGGCAGCACAGUAAGAGCUUGCUCUUACGGGUGGCGAGUGGCGGACGGGUGAGGAAUACAUCGGAAUCUACUUUUUCGUGGGGGAUAACGUAGGGAAACUUACGCUAAUACCGCAUACGACCUACGGGUGAAAGCAGGGGAUCUUCGGACCUUGCGCGAUUGAAUGAGCCGAUGUCGGAUUAGCUAGUUGGCGGGGUAAAGGCCCACCAAGGCGACGAUCCGUAGCUGGUCUGAGAGGAUGAGCAGCCACACUGGAACUGAGACACGGUCCAAACUCCUACGGGAGGCAGCAGUGGGGAAUAUUGGACAAUGGGCGCAAGCCUGAUCCAGCCAUACCGCGUGAGUGAAGAAGGCCUUCGGGUUGUAAAGCCCUUUUGUUGGGAAAGAAAAGCAGCAGGUUAAUACCCCGCUGUUCUGACGGUACCCAAAGAAUAAGCACCGGCUAACUUCGUG